UCAACUUCAGUUCAGUUAGUUGGAUCAUUAAUACCCAAAGAAAUUAGACUAUCUAUGCCUUCUGCUGAGAACCUAUUAUGGUUACUUUAUUAGGGCUCUAAAAAUAGAUUGUUCUUGUUCAGUUCAGUAAAUCGUUGCUGUGAAAGCUUGAACCUCUUAGUUACCUUUACCUACUGUGUUGGAAACCAGAUACGCUCAGGCUAGGCGUGCAGAACAAUGAUGAUUAGUGUCCUAAAUUCAGGGGACACCGAGCUUGAAAAUUUUGAAACUAAAACUCUCUACGCAUUGCUCUAGCGGACAGCAAGCACCAUGCUUCAUUGUGUUGCGGCGCGAUAUUAACUUCUUUGUGUUUGCCUUGUGAGGUGCAAGUGUGGGUGUUGAAGGUUCAUCCGGUUGUAGAGAGGUGAUAUUUUGAGCUGCAUUUCAUCAUCAACCCCAUGGGAGAUCAAUUCAUCACGUGGUCACUGGACUGAGAAGGGACAUGGAUAAAGAUUUUCAUAACAGUGUCGACAAACUGCCAUCGGAGUUGAACCAUGUGAGCAUGACUACAAGCAUCUUCACCCACACUUUACUGGUAUUUAGUUUCCAUUUCCCAACUAGAUUAUUCUGUAGUAUGUACUAAUGUAUGUGUUCUUUGCCUGCAUGCUUGUGAGCGGUGUGUAUUCUGCAAGUUUCAGAAAGAACAACUCAAAGAAUAUAUAACAUUUUGUCGUGGAAGCCCAUGACCAAGGGGAAGCCAUCCAAUACUACAUAAAGAUUGAAGAGUUCACCGUGAGGUUCAUGAGCUUCUACGGAUCAUGCAUAGCGAAGAACUCGAGUAAUUGUAUGAAGGGGGUGAUCCACUAUGGUGAUGACCCACAAGUGUAGGGGAUUUAUUGUAGUCCUUUUGAUAAGAAAGAGUGUCGAACCCAACAAGGAGCAGAAGGAAAUGACAAACAGUUUUCAACAUGGUAUUCUCU